rnacentral:rRNA from 1 species
UGUUUCGGCUAGGGGGUCAUCCCGACUUACCAACCCGAUGCAAACUACGAAUACCGAAGAAUGUUAUCACGGGAGACACACGGCGGGUGCUAACGUCCGUCGUGAAGAGGGAAACAACCCAGACCGCCAGCUAAGGUCCCAAAGUCAUGGUUAAGUGGGAAACGAUGUGGGAAGGCACAGACAGCCAGGAUGUUGGCUUAGAAGCAGCCAUCAUUUAAAGAAAGCGUAAUAGCUCACUGGUCGAGUCGGCCUGCGCGGAAGAUGUAACGGGGCUAAACCAUGCACCGAAGCUGCGGCAGCGACACUAUGUGUUGUUGGGUAGGGGAGCGUUCUGUAAGCCUGCGAAGGUGUGCUGUGAGGCAUGCUGGAGGUAUCAGAAGUGCGAAUGCUGACAUAAGUAACGAUAAAGC